rnacentral:rRNA from 1 species
CCCGGGCCUUGUACANACCGCCCGUCACACCAUGGGAGUUGGUUUUACCCGAAGCCGGUGCGCUAACCGCAAGGAGGCAGCCGACCACGGUAGGGUCAGCGACGUGGGGUGAAGUCGUAACAAGGUACCC